AUUCCUACGGGAGGCAGCAGUGAGGAAUAUUGCGCAAUGGACGAAAGUCUGACGCAGCGACGCCGCGUGAAGGAUGAAGGUCUUCGGAUUGUAAACUUCUGUUAAGUGGGAAGAAAGACCAGCGUAAGCUGGGGAUGACGGUACCACUAGAGAAAGCACCGGCUAACUUCGUGCCAGCAGCCGCGGUAAUAUGAGGGGUGCUAACGUUAUUCGGAAUAACUGGGCGUAAAGGGUGCGUAGACGGUACGUUAAGCUCGUUGUUAAAUCUCCCGGCCUAACCGGGAAUCAGCAAUGGGAACUGGCGCACUAGAGGAUGGAAGAGAGAAGUGGGAUUCUCGGAGUAGCGGUAAAAUGCGUAGAUCUCGAGAGGAACACCGAUGGCGUAGGCAGCUUCUUGGUCCAUUCCUGACGUUGAUGCACGAAAGCGUGGGGAGCAAACAGGAUUAGAUACCCUGGUAGUCCACGCUGUAAACGAUGAUCACUAGACGUUGGGUCGACUCUGUCGAUUCAGUGUCGUAGCUAACGCGUUAAGUGAUCCGCCUGGGGAGUACGGUCGCAAGAUUAAAACUCAAAGGAAUUGACGGAAU
rnacentral:rRNA from 1 species